GAUGAACGCUGGCGGCGUGCCUAAUACAUGCAAGUCGAGCGGACAGACGAGGUUCUUGCUCUUCUGUCGUUAGCGGCGGACGGGUAAGUAACACGUGCAUAACCUACAUAUAAGACUGGGUUAACUUCGGGCAACCGGAGCUAGUACCAAUUAAUAUAUUGAACCGCAUGGUUCACUAGUGAAAGACGGUUUUGUUGUCACUUAUAGAUGGAUCCGCGCCGCAUUAGCUAGUUGGUAAGGUAACGGCAUACCAAGGCGACGAUGCGUAGCCGACCUGAGAGGGUGAUCGUCGACACUGGAACUGAGACACGGUCCAGACUCCUACGGGAGGCAGCAGUAGGGAAUCUUCCGCAAUGGGCGAAAGCCUGACGGAGCAACGCCGCGUGAGUGAUGAAGGUCUUCGGAUCGUAAAACUCUGUUAUUAGGGAAGAACAAAUGUGUAAGUAACUAUGCACGUCUUGACGGUACCUAAACAGAAAGCCACGGCUAACUACGUG
rnacentral:rRNA from 1 species